rnacentral:lncRNA from 1 species
UGUUCUAUAAUCAUUUUUCAUUUUUAAUGCAUCUUAGCAAUGGAGGUUAUUAUUGAUUUCCGUUAUUAAAUAAGAUGUAAGAACUACACAGAACAUUUUUGUUCUGCUGACGCACUCAAGCGGUGGCGGUACAAAUUGUGAUGAAACUGAAAGUUACAUAAAAUCUCGAUCGGUCCUCUUCCUCUGACAGGAAGGUCCUUCGUGCUUGCUUCUAAUCCACAUGCACGGGAAGCGUCUAAUGAAACACACAAGAUGACUCGUAAUGAUAGAUGUGUCGAUAGACCGAGACCCUUAGUCGUACGUUUUUCAGAUCCGGCUUGACUUGGCAUGAAGACCUACCACGGUAAUCAUUUUGAUCAUGUCCCUUUCCAAGAUAUAGCUCCAUUCCGACUACCGACGCCUCCUAUUUUCAUCGCGUGCUCAUUUGUAUAUUUAGUUUCUCUCAUGCGCAUGCCCUCUAUUGUUUAUGUGACUACGACCUAUUUGAUGGGCUAAUGCCACCAACAAGUUAAAACAAAGUGCAACCUCUCAACAUAUCUAUCUACUCUCGUGAAAAGAGAGUGGCUUAUAUAAAGGAAG